rnacentral:ncRNA from 1 species
AAAUUGAUUUUGAAAGGGAGAGUAUCAAUUUUUAAUAGUUUACAGCGAACCGGGGAUGGUGGAAGCCGGGAAACUGAAAAUUGAGAAGAUCACCCUGGAGUCGGUAUAUGAAUUCAGUAGUAUACCCGUAUUUCUGCGUUAAAGAUUGCUGAGAUAAAAUUAGUGAGCUUAAAAAUAAAAAAUUUAUCUGCUUACUUAUUUUAAUUAGGGUGGUACCGCGGUCUCUCGUCCCUUCC